rnacentral:lncRNA from 1 species
GCGGGGCGCCGGGGGCGUACGGGCGGCUGUGCGGGGAGCGGGCCUCUCUAGCUCGCCCUCUCGUUCUCUCUUUAGCAACAUGGCGGGCGUGGAGGCGGCCCAGGCGUCGGCCUCUGAGAGGCACCUGAACGGUGAGCUGGAGCCGGACGACAAGGACGACGGCGCGGCCGCCACGGCCGAGGAGACGGCCAAGAAGAAGCGCCGCAAGAAGAAGAAGGGCAAGGCCGGGGCCGCAGGACAACAGGAAACAGAGGGAGAAUCGGGGACUUCAGUGGAUGAGGUAGCCAGACAGCUGGAAAAACAGGCCCUGGAGGACAAAGAAAAAGAGGAUGACGAUGAAGUGCUGAUUUUGAAAAUUGUUACAUUUGAGUCCUAGUAACAUCAGCUGUGUGACUCUGGACAAGUUACUUAACCUUUAUGAUCAAUCUGUCUAACCAAUGGGGACAAUAAUACUUGGAUUGCCUACUUUCUGUUUUGAUGAAAAUGCUGUAUAAACUUUAAAAUUCUGUAUCAGUGUGAGCUCUUAC